GUGCUAACGUCCGUCGUGAAGAGGGAAACAACCCAGACCGCCAGCUAAGGUCCCAAAGUCAUGGUUAAGUGGGAAACGAUGUGGGAAGGCCCAGACAGCCAGGAUGUUGGCUUAGAAGCAGCCAUCAUUUAAAGAAAGCGUAAUAGCUCACUGGUCGAGUCGGCCUGCGCGGAAGAUGUAACGGGGCUAAACCAUGCACCGAAGCUGCGGCAGCGACACUCAGGUGUUGUUGGGUAGGGGAGCGUUCUGUAAGYCUGCGAAGGUGGCCUGUGAGGGUUGCUGGAGGUAUCAGAAGUGCGAAUGCUGACAUAAGUAACGAUAAAGCGGGUGAAAAGCCCGCUCGCCGGAAGACCAAGGGUUCCUGUCCAACGUUAAUCGGGGCAGGGUGAGUCGACCCCUAAGGCGAGGCCGAAAGGCGUAGUCGAUGGGAAACGGGUUAAUAUUCCCGUACUUGGUGUUACUGCGAAGGGGGGACGGAGAAGGCUAUGUUGGCCGGGCGACGGUUGUCCCGGUUUAAGCGUGUAGG
rnacentral:rRNA from 1 species